AGUGAACGCUGGCGGUAGGCCUAACACAUGCAAGUCGAACGGCAGCACAGUAAGAGCUUGCUCUUACGGGUGGCGAGUGGCGGACGGGUGAGGAAUACAUCGGAAUCUACUUUUUCGUGGGGGAUAACGUAGGGAAACUUACGCUAAUACCGCAUACGACCUACGGGUGAAAGCAGGGGAUCUUCGGACCUUGCGCGAUUGAAUGGGCCGAUGUCGGAUUAGCUAGUUGGCGGGGUAAAGGCCCACCAAGGCGACGAUCCGUAGCUGGUCUGAGAGGAUGAUCAGCCACACUGGAACUGAGACACGGUCCAGCCUCCUACGGGAGGCAGCAGUGGGGAAUAUUGGACAAUGGGCGCAAGCCUGAUCCAGCCAUACCGCGUGGGUGAAGAAGGCCUUCGGGUUGUAAAGCCCUUUUGUUGGGAAAGAAAAGCAGCAGGUUAAUACCCCGCUGUUCUGACGGUACCCAAAGAAUAAGCACCGGCUAACUUCGUG
rnacentral:rRNA from 1 species